rnacentral:lncRNA from 1 species
UGCUUAUUCCCCUUUCCAGAUUUCUUUCAUCCUCCUAGGAUGUAAGGCUUUUCUGUCAUCAGGGAGAACGUGUGGGUUUUUCUGGUCCCAGGAGGGAGUGUGAUCUGACUCCAGCAGACUUCAUAGUACAUUGCAGUAUACUAGCAUCUUUAUGGGCAAGUUCAUGGACUCUUCCCCUCAUGAAUAGCAAUGUGACCUUCCUGUCUGAAUCAAGGAUGUAUGUAUGAUCCUAGAUAAUCCUGUUUAUUUUUUUAAAUUGAAGUAUAAGUGACGUAUAACAUUAUAUUAGUUUCAGUGUACAACGUAAUGAUUUGAUAUUUGCAUACACCGUGAAAUGAUCACUACAUUAAGUUUAG